rnacentral:rRNA from 1 species
CGAGUCUUAAUUGGGCGUUAAGUUGCAGGGUAUAGACCCGAAACCCGGUGAUCUAGCCAUGGGCAGGUUGAAGGUUGGGUAACACUAACUGGAGGACCGAACCGACUAAUGUUGAAAAAUUAGCGGAUGACCUGUGGCUGGGGGUGAAAGGCCAAUCAAACCGGGAGAUAGCUGGUUCUCCCCGAAAGCUAUUUAGGUAGCGCCUCGUGAAUUCAUCUCCGGGGGUAGAGCACUGUUUCGGCUAGGGGGCCAUCCCGGCUUACCAACCCGAUGCAAACUGCGAAUACCGGAGAAUGUUAUCACGGGAGACACACGGCGGGUGCUAACGUCCGUCGUGAAGAGGGAAACAACCCAGACCGCCAGCUAAGGUCCCAAAGUCAUGGUUAAGUGGGAAACGAUGUGGGAAGGCCCAGACAGCCAGGAUGUUGGCUUAGAAGCAGCCAUCAUUUAAAGAAAGCGUAAUAGCUCACUGGUCGAGUCGGCCUGCGCGGAAGAUGUAACGGGGCUAAACCAUGCACCGAAGCUGCGGCAGCGACGCUGAUGCGUUGUUGGGUAGGGGAGCGUUCUGUAAGCCUGCGAAGGUGGCCUGUGAGGGUUGCUGGAGGUAUCAGAAGUGCGAAUGCUGACAUAAGUAACGAUAAAGCGGGUGAAAAGCCCGCUCGCCGGAAGACCAAGGGUUCCUGUCCAACGUUAAUCGGGGCAGGGUGAGUCGACCCCUAAGGCGAGGCCGAAAGGCGUAGUCGAUGGGAAACGGGUUAAUAUUCCCGUACUUGGUGUUACUGCGAAGGGGGGACGGAGAAGGCUAUGUUGGCCGGGCGACGGUUGUCCCGGUUUAAGCGUGUAGGUGUGUGUUCCAGGUAAAUCCGGUUCACUUUAACACUGAGGCGUGACGACGAGGCACUACGGUGCUGAAGCAACAAAUGCCCUGCUUCCAGGAAAAGCCUCUAAGCAUCAGGUAACAUCAAAUCGUACCCCAAACCGACACAGGUGGUCAGGUAGAGAAUACCAAGGCGCUUGAGAGAACUCGGGUGAAGGAACUAGGCAAAAUGGUGCCGUAACUUCGGGAGAAGGCACGCUGACACGUAGGUGAAGUGAUUUACUCAUGGAGCUGAAGUCAGUCGAAGAUACCAGCUGGCUGCAACUGUUUAUUAAAAACACAGCACUGUGCAAACACGAAAGUGGACGUAUACGGUGUGACGCCUGCCCGGUGCCGGAAGGUUAAUUGAUGGGGUCAGCGCAAGCGAAGCUCCUGAUCGAAGCCCCGGUAAACGGCGGCCGUAACUAUAACGGUCCUAAGGUAGCGAAAUUCCUUGUCGGGUAAGUUCCGACCUGCACGAAUGGCGUAAUGAUGGCCAGGCUGUCUCCACCCGAGACUCAGUGAAAUUGAACUCGCUGUGAAGAUGCAGUGUACCCGCGGCAAGACGGAAAGACCCCGUGAACCUUUACUAUAGCUUGACACUGAACAUUGAGCCUUGAUGUGUAGGAUAGGUGGGAGGCUUUGAAGUGUGGACGCCAGUCUGCAUGGAGCCGACCUUGAAAUACCACCCUUUAAUGUUUGAUGUUCUAACGUGGACCCGUUACCCGGGUUGCGGACAGUGUCUGGUGGGUAGUUUGACUGGGGCGGUCUCCUCCUAAAGAGUAACGGAGGAGCACGAAGGUUGGCUAAUCCUGGUCGGACAUCAGGAGGUUAGUGCAAUGGCAUAAGCCAGCUUGACUGCGAGCGUGACGGCGCGAGCAGGUGCGAAAGCAGGUCAUAGUGAUCCGGUGGUUCUGAAUGGAAGGGCCAUCGCUCAACGGAUAAAAGGUACUCCGGGGAUAACAGGCUGAUACCGCCCAAGAGUUCAUAUCGACGGCGGUGUUUGGCACCUCGAUGUCGGCUCAUCACAUCCUGGGGCUGAAGUAGGUCCCAAGGGUAUGGCUGUUCGCCAUUUAAAGUGGUACGCGAGCUGGGUUUAGAACGUCGUGAGACAGUUCGGUCCCUAUCUGCCGUGGGCGCUGGAGAACUGAGGGGGGCUGCUCCUAGUACGAGAGGACCGGAGUGGACGCAUCACUGGUGUUCGGGUUGUCAUGCCAAUGGCACUGCCCGGUAGCUAAAUGCGGAAGAGAUAAGUGCUGAAAGCAUCUAAGCACGAAACUUGCCCCGAGAUGAGUUCUCCCUGAGACUUAGAGUCUCCUGAAGGAACGUUGAAGACGACGACGUUGAUAGGCCGGGUGUGUAAGCGCAGCGAUGCGUUGAGCUAACCGGUACUAAUGAACCGUGAGGCUUAACCUUACAACGCCGAAG